AUUGAACGCUGGCGGCAUGCUUUACACAUGCAAGUCGAACGGCAGCGCGGGCUUCGGCCUGGCGGCGAGUGGCGAACGGGUGAGUAAUACAUCGGAACGUGCCCAGUAGUGGGGGAUAGCUCGGCGAAAGCUGGAUUAAUACCGCAUACGACCUGAGGGUGAAAGCGGGGGAUCUUCGGACCUCGCGCUAUUGGAGCGGCCGAUGGCAGAUUAGCUAGUUGGUGGGGUAAAGGCCUACCAAGGCGACGAUCUGUAGCUGGUCUGAGAGGACGACCAGCCACACUGGGACUGAGACACGGCCCAGACUCCUACGGGAGGCAGCAGUGGGGAAUUUUGGACAAUGGGCGAAAGCCUGAUCCAGCAAUGCCGCGUGUGCGAUGAAGGCCUUCGGGUUGUAAAGCACUUUUGGCGGGAACGAAAAGGACUGUGCCAAUACCACGGUUCGAUGACGGUACCCGCAGAAUAAGCACCGGCUAACUACGUG
rnacentral:rRNA from 1 species